rnacentral:rRNA from 1 species
GACGAACGCUGGCGGCGUGCUUAACACAUGCAAGUCGAACGGGAGUAUUGAAGAAGCUUGCUUUAGAGAUACCUUAGUGGCGGACGGGUGAGUAACGCGUGAGGAGCUGUCCAAUGCAGGGGGACAACAGUUGGAAACGACUGCUAAUACCCCAUAAGCCGAGAGGUAAAAGGAUUUAUCCGGCAAUGGCGGUACUCGCGUCCUAUCGGCUAGUAGGUGAGGUAACGGCUCACCUAGGCGAAGACGGGUAGCCAGCCUGAGAGGGCGAACGGCCACACUGGAACUGAGAUACGGUCAAGACUCCUACGGGAGGCAGCAGUGGGGAAUAUUGGGCAAUGGGGGGAACCCUGACCCAGCGACGCCGCGUGGGUGAAGAAAUCCUUCGGGAUGUAAAGCCCUGUUGUAUGGGAAGAGCGGAAGACGGUAUCAUACGAGGAAGCCCCGGCAAACUACGUGCCAGCAGCCGCCGUAA